GAUGAACGCUGGCGGCGUGCCUAAUACAUGCAAGUCGAGCGAACGGACGAGAAGCUUGCUUCUCUGAUGUUAGCGGCGGACGGGUGAGUAACACGUGGAUAACCUACCUAUAAGACUGGGAUAACUUCGGGAAACCGGAGCUAAUACCGGAUAAUAUUUUGAACCGCAUGGUUCAAAAGUGAAAGACGGUCUUGCUGUCACUUAUAGAUGGAUCCGCGCUGCAUUAGCUAGUUGGUAAGGUAACGGCUUACCAAGGCAACGAUGCAUUGCCGACCUGAGAGGGUGAUCGGCCACACUGGAACUGAGACACGGUCCAGACUCCUACGGGAGGCAGCAGUAGGGAAUCUUCCGCAAUGGGCGAAAGCCUGACGGAGCAACGCCGCGUGAGUGAUGAAGGUCUUCGGAUCGUAAAACUCUGUUAUUAGGGAAGAACAUAUGUGUAAGUAACUGUGCACAUCUUGACGGUACCUAAUCAGAAAGCCACGGCUAACUACGUGCCAGCAGCCGCGGUAAUACGUAGGUGGCAAGCGUUAUCCGGAAUUAUUGGGCGUAAAGCGCGCGUAGGCGGUUUUUUAAGUCUGAUGUGAAAGCCCACGGCUCAACCGUGGAGGGUCAUUGGAAACUGGAAAACUUGAGUGCAGAAGAGGAAAGUGGAAUUCCAUGUGUAGCGGUGAAAUGCGCAGAGAUAUGGAGGAACACCAGUGGCGAAGGCGACUUUCUGGUCUGUAACUGACGCUGAUGUGCGAAAGCGUGGGGAUCAAACAGGAUUAGAUACCCUGGUAGUCCACGCCGUAAACGAUGAGUGCUAAGUGUUAGGGGGUUUCCGCCCCUUAGUGCUGCAGCUAACGCAUUAAGCACUCCGCCUGGGGAGUACGACCGCAAGGUUGAAACUCAAAGGAAUUGACGGGGACCCGCACAAGCGGUGGAGCAUGUGGUUUAAUUCGAAGCAACGCGAAGAACCUUACCAAAUCUUGACAUCCUUUGACAACUCUAGAGAUAGAGCUUUCCCCUUCGGGGGACAAAGUGACAGGUGGUGCAUGGUUGUCGUCAGCUCGUGUCGUGAGAUGUUGGGUUAAGUCCCGCAACGAGCGCAACCCUUAAGCUUAGUUGCCAUCAUUAAGUUGGGCACUCUAAGUUGACUGCCGGUGACAAACCGGAGGAAGGUGGGGAUGACGUCAAAUCAUCAUGCCCCUUAUGAUUUGGGCUACACACGUGCUACAAUGGACAAUACAAAGGGCAGCGAAACCGCGAGGUCAAGCAAAUCCCAUAAAGUUGUUCUCAGUUCGGAUUGUAGUCUGCAACUCGACUACAUGAAGCUGGAAUCGCUAGUAAUCGUAGAUCAGCAUGCUACGGUGAAUACGUUCCCGGGUCU
rnacentral:rRNA from 1 species